UACGUAGGGGGCAAGCGUUGUCCGGAUUUAUUGGGCGUAAAGCGCUCGCAGGCGGCUUUUUGCGUUUUGUGUGACAGGUGGGGGCUUAACUCCCACAGGCCUCAGAAGACGGGAAGGCUUGAGGGCUUCAGAGGGACGCGGAAUUCCAGGUGGAGCGGUGAAAUGCGUAGAGAUCUGGAAGAACACCAAGGGCGAAGGCAGCGUCCUGGGAAGCAACUGACGCUCAGGUGCGAAAGCUAGGGGAGCGAACGGG
rnacentral:rRNA from 1 species